rnacentral:piRNA from 1 species
UCACCUAUGGAAGGACAUGAGUGGU